UACGAAGGGGGCUAGCGUUGUUCGGAAUUACUGGGCGUAAAGCGCGUGUAGGCGGCCCUGCAAGUCGGGUGUGAAAUCCCACGGCUCAACCGUGGAAGUGCACUCGAAACUGCAGGGCUAGAGUCCUGGAGAGGAAGGUGGAAUGCUUGGUGUAGAGGUGAAAUUCGUAGAUAUCAAGCGGAACACCGGUGGCGAAGGCGGCCUUCUGGACAGUGACUGACGCUGAGACGCGAAAGCUGGGGGAGCAAACAGG
rnacentral:rRNA from 1 species